UGUUUGGGCUACAAGAAGAAAGAGAGAGAAAAGAAAAGAAAAAGAGAGAGAAUAGAGAAAGGAGAAGAAGUUAGGGUUUGGGAGAGAGGAAGAACAGAGAUGACAAAUCGCCAUAGGAGAUCGGAUCAGAACCGACGCCAGAGAACCGAGUCCCCAAUCUAAACCGUCAAAUAGCUCGAGGGAAGGUGCUCUCACGAAUCGCACCUUCCUAUUUCGACCAAACGUUCAAGAACUUCAGCGCUAUCUGGUUAAGUUCUGAAGUGAAGGCGGCCAAGAUCGGCGUUCGAAUCGGAGUUUAAAGAUAACGUGAUUUUCGGAGAGAGAAGGCAUCGCCGCCACGCGUCAGCCGCCGUACGGAGGAGCGCGGUAGGACCGACGACCGACACGUGGCGACCGCGGGCUGGGGAAACGCAUCAGGCGUGCGCAACCAGGUCGGCCCGAGUCCGAACCGAACUGCCCGAGACCGCUCUGACCUGUCCGAACCGACCCGUCUCGACCCGCGACUGCACAGAAAGAAGCACGUAAAAAGCCGUGCGUAAAACACCCUCUAGAGCGCGUGCAGGCGCGUGUAGGCGCGUGGGACCUGUCAAGGAAAUUCCAGAAUUUUUGGAACCUUUUCCGGCAAAUAAUUCGAGCUUGGGAAGGCACGCGUCAACCAAGUAAGUAGCCAUUUGGAUUCCCACGAGCAGUACUUGUAGGAACCGCUAGGAACAAGCAUGCAUGCUACCACCUAUGAAAUUAGCUAGCCGGACUUAGCGUGUUAUUAUAGAAACUGCGAAUAUAAGAUGAUUAUGGAAAGCUAGAUACAAAAUGUGUAUUAAAUCUGUUUUGGUUGAGACUCUGAUAAUGUAUGUAUGCAUGAGGAGGUUGGAAAACUUGUGAAAUCUGCGCUCCGGGUAAAGAUGGACGUUAUCUUCCCGUUGAACAUGUUUGAUAAUUUUGCAUGAACUGCUGCGUGUAAACUCUAUUGUAUGAUGAUUGCUUGUAUUAUCUUUCUUGAUGAAUAGGAAGAAAUUAUGAGCUUAGAUUAGGACGCUUAUGGCUAAGUAGGCUAGACGAGACCCUAGAUUGGGGGACCUCUAGAAUACCGUGCAAUUAGACCCGCGAAAUGAUUACCGGCGGAACCAGAACCCAGAAUUCCAAACCCGAUAGGUUUGUGACACCAGGCACGAGAAUCCUAGAGAAACACGAAUCUAAGUCUAAGGCACCAAGUUCCACCCUAGGAAGAAUAAUAGGUCACCACAGUAACUGUAGGUAGCCCGUUAGAGUUGAGCAGUGAAGAUAGUGUCAUCAGAACCUCCACUUCCCUCUCUCCUCCGAUACCAUACCGUCGAGACAGAGCUCCGGUACGGUGAUCGUUGAGCUUUGCAGAUCCGGAUAGGGAAGUGUGACAGGUGCCCAGGCCUAGUGGUGAUAGCUAAGGGGUCUUCUGAACAGGACUCCUGGGCCGUAGAAACCCGUCCCUGAGCGGGGGACGUGGAGCCACUUAGGAUGACUCAGUAGCUGACCGGCACAUAGGGGGUCGCACCCCGUUUUGUGGAUGUAUGGUCCCGUGUGAGGGUCGUCAGUUAACCUCCACGGAUGAUGUUCAGAGAGAGAGUCACGUAUUCAGAUCCAGCCAUACGAUCCCCUCAGAUUUGCUUAUGAGGUCGCGCCUCACCUCAGGACACUGAUCAUUUCAC